rnacentral:rRNA from 1 species
UACGAAGGGGGCUAGCGUUGUUCGGAAUCACUGGGCGUAAAGGGCGCGUAGGCGGCCUGUUAAGUCGAACGUGAAAUCCCCGGGCUCAACCCGGGAACUGCGUCCGAUACUGGCAGGCUUGAAUCCGGGAGAGGGAUGCGGAAUUCCAGGUGUAGCGGUGAAAUGCGUAGAUAUCUGGAGGAACACCGGUGGCGAAGGCGGCUUUCUGGUCUGUAACUGACGCUGAGGCGCGAAAGCGUGGGGAGCAAACAGG